UUUAUGGAGAGUUUGAUCCUGGCUCAGGAUGAACGCUGGCGGCGUGCCUAAUACAUGCAAGUCGAGCGAACGGACGAGAAGCUUGCUUCUCUGAUGUUAGCGGCGGACGGGUGAGUAACACGUGGAUAACCUACCUAUAAGACUGGGAUAACUUCGGGAAACCGUAGCUAAUACCGGAUAAUAUUUUGAACCGCAUGGUUCAAAAGUGAAAGACGGUCUUGCUGUCACUUAUAGAUGGAUCCGCGCUGCAUUAGCUAGUUGGUAAGGUAACGGCUUACCAAGG
rnacentral:rRNA from 1 species